UACGUAGGGUGCAAGCGUUAAUCGGAAUUACUGGGCGUAAAGCGUGCGCAGGCGGUUAUGCAAGACAGAUGUGAAAUCCCCGGGCUUAACCUGGGAACCGCAUUUGUGACUGCAUAGCUGGAGUACGGCAGAGGGGGAUGGAAUUCCGCGUGUAGCAGUGAAAUGCGUAGAUAUGCGGAGGAACACCGAUGGCGAAGGCAGUCCCCUGGGCCUGUACUGACGCUCAUGCACGAAAGCGUAGGGAGCAAACAGG
rnacentral:rRNA from 1 species